GACGAACGCUGGCGGCGUGCUUAACACAUGCAAGUCGAACGGAAAGGCCCUGCUUUUGUGGGGUGCUCGAGUGGCGAACGGGUGAGUAACACGUGAGUAACCUGCCCUUAACUUUGGGAUAACUUCAGGAAACUGGGGCUCAUACCGGGUAGGAGCUCCUGCUGCGUGGGGGGGGUUGGAAAGUUUCGGCGGUUGGGGAUGGACUCGCGGCUUAUGCGCUUGUUGGUGGGGUAGUGGCUUACCAAGGCUUUGACGGGUAGCCGGCCUGAGAGGGUGACCGGCCACAUGGGGACUGAGAGACGGCCCAGUCUCCUACGGGAGGCAGUAGUGGGGAACAUGGCACAAUGGGCGCAAGCCUGAUGCAGCAACGCUGCGUGCGGGAUGACGGCCUUCGGGUUGUAAACCGCUUUCGCCUGUGACGAAGCGUGAGUGACGGUAAUGGGUAAAGAAGCACCGGCUAACUACGUG
rnacentral:rRNA from 1 species